rnacentral:lncRNA from 1 species
CCUACACUUUGGGUGUCUCAGAUGUUUUUCUUCUGCUUAGAAAAACACACAUCGAGGGACAGUCCACGGAAUGACUGACCCAUCUCCGCAUUGUCACCACAGUUCACAUCAGGGGUCGUGCUGCAGAGAGUAUAGAAUAACCUCUGAGAGCGCUGCAGAUCUACACGCUCACACGCGGAUCCAAGCACACACGCCCACCCACAAAAGCAGACCCCCAGGAAAUCGCAAAGUCAAGUCGACAUCUGUCUGUGGCUGUUUCUUCCCUAACAUGGUGGGCUCGUCGUAUUCUGAAGUUCACCUGGGACGGCAGCAAUGAAUGACCCUGGUGAGAAGCCACUUUAUUCGGCAGGUGGGAGAUUUACCAGAAGGCAGGAUGGAGCUCUUGCCCCUUCUGUAGGACCUGCCUCCCCUGACUGGACAUGUUGGUGAAGCAGUGGGCAUUGGAUGCCAUGGGGCCAAGAGAUGAAAAAUUUAUACCCUUUCCUUGUACCCC